AAAACUCUAGAAAAGGCCCACUCACCACCACCUCACACAUUUUUUGUGAAAUUUGAGGAACAAGUCAAGUGUCCUGUCUGUGUCCAUACGCCUCCUCACCUCAACCAUUCUACCCGGAACCUUCUCCCUCUCUCUCUCACUCAUUCUCUG